rnacentral:rRNA from 1 species
UAGAGUUUGAUCCUGGCUCAGGAUGAACGCUGGCUGUGUGCCUAAUACAUGCAUGUCGAGCGGAAGUAGCAAUACUUUAGCGGCGAAUGGGUGAGUAACACGUGCUUAAUCUACCUCUUAGAUUGGAAUACCUAAUGGAAACAUUGGUUAAUGCCGGAUACGCAUGGAGUCGCAUGACUCCGUUGUGAAAGGGGCCUUUAAAGCUCCACUAAGAGAUGAGGGUGCGGAACAUUAGCUAGUUGGUGAGGUAACGGCCCACCAAGGCUAUGAUGUUUAGCCGGGUCGAGAGACUGAACGGCCACAUUGGGACUGAGAUACGGCCCAAACUCCUACGGGAGGCAGCAGUAGGGAAUAUUCCACAAUGAGCGAAAGCUUGAUGGAGCGACACAGCGUGCACGAUGAAGGUCUUAUGGAUUGUAAAGUGCUGUUGCAAGGGAAGAAAAAGUAGUUGAGGAAAUGCUUCUACAUUGACGGUACCUUGUUAGAAAGCGAUGGCUAACUAUGUGCCAGCAGCCGCGGUAAUACAUAGGUCGCAAGCGUUAUCCGGAAUUAUUGGGCGUAAAGCGUUCGUAGGCUGUUUAUUAAGUCUGGAGUCAAAUCCCAGGGCUCAACCCUGGCUCGCUUUGGAUACUGGUAAACUAGAGUUGGAUAGAGGUAAGCGGAAUUCCAUGUGAAGCGGUGAAAUGCGUAGAUAUAUGGAAGAACACCAAAGGCGAAGGCAGCUUACUGGGUUUAUACUGACGCUGAGGAACGAAAGCGUGGGAGCAAACAGGAUUAGAUACCCUGGUAGUCCACGCCGUAAACGAUGAUCAUUAGUCGGCAGAGAACUGUUGACGCAGCUAACGCAUUAAAUGAUCCGCCUGAGUAGUAUGCUCGCAAGAGUAAAACUUAAAGGAAUUGACGGGGACCCGCACAAGCGGUGGAGCAUGUGGUUUAAUUUGAAGAUACGCGGAGAACCUUACCCACUCUUGACAUCCUUCGCAAAGCUAUAGAGAUAUAGUGGAGGUUAACGGAGUGACAGAUGGUGCAUGGUUGUCGUCAGCUCGUGUCGUGAGAUGUUUGGUCAAGUCCUGCAACGAGCGCAACCCCUAUCUUUAGUUACUAACGAGUCAUGUCGAGGACUCUAGAGAUACUGCCUGGGUAACUGGGAGGAAGGUGGGGAUGACGUCAAAUCAUCAUGCCUCUUACGAGUGGGGCAACACACGUGCUACAAUGGUCGGUACAAAGAGAAGCAAUAUGGUGACAUGGAGCAAAUCUCAAAAAGCCGAUCUCAGUUCGGAUUGAAGUCUGCAAUUCGACUUCAUGAAGUCGGAAUCGCUAGUAAUCGCAGAUCAGCUAUGCUGCGGUGAAUACGUUCUCGGGUCUUGUACACACCGCCCGUCACACCAUGGGAGCUGGUAAUACCCAAAGUCGGUUUGCUA